CUCGUAGGCGGCUCAGUUAGUCGGGUGUGAAACCCCCGGGCUCAACCCGGGGACGCCACCCGAUACUGCUGUGGCUAGAGUCCGGUAGGGGAGCGUGGAAUUCCUGGUGUAGCGGUGAAAUGCGCAGAUAUCAGGAGGAACACCAGCGGCGAAGGCGGCGCUCUGGGCCGGAACUGACGCUGAGGAGCGAAAGCGUGGGGAGCGAACA
rnacentral:rRNA from 1 species